rnacentral:rRNA from 1 species
GAUUCAUAAUAACUUCUCGAAUCGCAUGGCCUUGUGCUGGCGAUGCUUCAUUCAAAUAUCUGCCCUAUCAACUUUCGAUGGUAGGAUAGUGGCCUACCAUGGUUUUAACGGGUAACGGGGAAUAAGGGUUCGAUUCCGGAGAGGGAGCCUGAGAAACGGCUACCACAUCCAAGGAAGGCAGCAGGCGCGCAAAUUACCCAAUCCCGACACGGGGAGGUAGUGACAAUAAAUAACAAUAUAGGGCUCUUUUGGGUCUUAUAAUUGGAAUGAGUACAAUUUAAACCCCUUAACGAGGAACAAUUGGAGGGCAAGUCUGGUGCCAGCAGCCGCGGUAAUUCCAGCUCCAAUAGCGUAUAUUAAAGUUGUUGCAGUUAAAAAGCUCGUAGUUGAACUUCAGACCUGGCUGGAUGGUCUGCCUAACGGUAUGUACUGUCUGGCUGGGUCUUACCUCUUGGUGAACUAGCAUGUCCUUCACUGGGUGUGUUGGGGAACCAGGACUUUUAC